UUGGCCGGAUAGAUUGAGUUGGUAAAAAUACAAAAGGUCUAGUGUGACAUCCUGAACCUCUAUAUGAUCAGAGGAGAGGAAGGAAGGGAUCCUAAAUGAUUAGGGCAUUCGUCGACGGAUAAUUUGGAAACCGUCACCAUUAUCGUCUAUGAAGAAGUGUGCCGUGUUUCUUGGUUCCAAUCGCCGCUGCGCCGACUGCUUCCGAUGUCGCGUCAUCACGCGACCCGACCUUUCUACCGCUCCGCACUCACGUUAAUUUUCCUUCCCUUUUCCCGCCGCCAUGCCGUCGGGAACACCACCGUCACUGCCCCUGCCCCCUUUUUCCUUCUUACCGGAUCAUCACUGCCCCCCUUUUCUCUUCCCUUUUCUUCUUUUUUUCUCUUUUUCUUCUUUCCCCUCCACCACUUGGCGGAGGAGAAGCGCCAUGUGGCGCCUGUCUUCUCCACCGCACCAUCCGGCCAUUGGCCAUGCAUGCAAAGGAAGGGGAAGAGUCAUUCCACUCUCUUUCCUUCCUCUCAUUUCCCCCUCUCUUCUGCCAACUCUCUUCCUCGCCGGCUCUCUCUCUCUCACUUUCUCUCUCUUCUCUCUCUCUCUCUACUCAGAACUCACCAGCCGCCGACCCAGUUGACCAGCAGCUGCUCAACUCAUCUGCUGCAACCGUCCGUCCACACGACGCCGCUCCCUCCGUCAUCCCGUCUCCUCACGUCAGCGGCAGCAACCACCGCGAGCCGGAAACCGCCGCACCGUGCUCUCUCUCCCAACCAAGACCCGCACGCCGUGCCGCCACACUCGUCGUCGAGGCAAGUGUGCUCUCUCACUCCAUACUAACCAUUUUAGUGUUUGUAUGUUGAGUUUGGGUCUUGGACUAGACAAUGUGGUGGCUUGAUGUUGUGGGGGAGAAUGGUUUGAUUGUGUAUUUGCCCAAGUAUGUUGGUUUAGACCUUUUGCAAUGAGUUUUGUGCGUAUAGGUUGCUGAACCAGGUUGGAAAUGGAUGUUGCACGUUGGUUUGGACUUCUGGUUUUGAGUUUCCUGGAUGAGAAUUCGUGGAUUUCAAGUUAGAGUCGUUUUCUUGAACUUCGGCUUUGUUUUCCAGAACACUGCUGGACUUUUACGGUUUUCCAUUUUUAUAGAGCUUUUUGUGAUAUGAAUACUGAAAACUUUCUUCAUAAAAGUUGUUCAGAAAAUCUUGGAAUAUAACAUACUUUAAAUUAAGAUUUUUCUGAGUUCAAAUGGAUUGCACGAAGCCCCUAUUUCUUACCGUAUUAAAUCUGUUCAGUACAGUAAAAUCAGUGACCUUUUUGUCUUCUCGAAUUUUUAUAAAAAUUUUCAGUUCGAAAUUGGACAUAUUUCCUUUACGAAAGUUGUUAAAGAAAUCCAUGUCUACAACGUAUAAAAAUUUCGAAGUAUUUUGAGAAGAUUUGAUUUGCGAAACAAGUAUUUCUUUUGGUUUAAUCAUUCUGCUCUAGCGGGCCAGUUUUGGUUAGAUUUUAAGUGGCUCAUUCUCAGGUAUACAAAAUGAUCUGGGUUUUACACUAUUCAUGAAAAAUGUCACUUAAGGUUUUUUAUAUGACAUAUUCAAAUUUCAUAAUUUUUCGAGAUCAUUUACUAUAUUAUUGGUCUUGAUUUCUCAAAAUGCUCAAAAUUGCCUUAUUUUACCUAUUGUUAGAAAAUCUCGAAUUUUUAUUGGAAGAUGAUGGAUUCUUAAUUUCUUGUCUACUAGAGAUAGUAACCACACUCAAUUAGCUUUCCAAUGAGGCAUUAAUGGUCAUGAUAUGAUGAGGCAAAGUUGAUACUCAUGAAUUUGUGUGGAGUCCAAGGGGUACACGUGCCGCGAAGAGCCGAAGGGAAAGCGGGAUGGCGUGUCCGGUGGACUACGAUGCCUAGGAGGUACCCUGCCCUAGAUGCCCUGGGAGUUUGAUCGGGAUGCCAUGGUUAGUGGACUACGAAGCCCAUGCAGGUCGAUGAGAAUUCUGGCGUAUACUACGGCAGACCGGAGGGUGCACCGGACCUUGCUAGACGGGAUGUUCGUCCAUGCGUGGCCGGCGAGUGCACCGAACUUGUGCCUUGGAGUGGAGAUUAAAGUUUGAUUAAUGUCAUGUAACACAUGCGAUGUGUGCUCGUGUGAUUAUAUGUUGUAGCGAUCUAACCUCCCGCGGUGCACCAUCUAGGGGUUUGGCUAAUGGAUUAUUAAGUCUAAGCCUAACUCCGGCCCUCCCAAGCCCUAUCAAUUCGUGACUUAAGGUUUAAGUUCUUAACAUGCAAAUUAUUUCAAUCAGGAGUCGCCACUAAUCUAUUUUUUGGUGAGACGAUUAUAAACCCAAGUAAAUUAUCGGGAGAAUUACUUUACUCCUACGAACCAGAGAUUAUGGAUUCGGGGACUUGGUUACACUAGAUUACUCUAA